GGCAGGUCUAAGGGUGACUCCCAGAAAGAAGGGUGUCUGCCAGUACCCAUUGUAAAUAACAGACAGUUUAUAGGAUCCAGGGAGCUCCUGGUCUUGAUCUUACUUGAGAGCACCAGAUAUUGACCUGGUGCAGAACGGAUCAGCCAAGUGACCCUUCUCGGCCAGUCUCACUCACAGGAUGUUGGAGCAACAUCAAGCAAUCCUCAGGUGAGAGGUCCUGAAGACACCUGAAGACAAAGGGACAUAAAGAGGAAUCUGAGAAACCAGGUUUUGCUAAGUUUCCCUCAGUUUCCUACACUGAUUUCAUAAUCUUUGCUUAUCAUAUUUCUCUAUGCCUGUCCACUCUUCAUCAAACCCAACACAUAGACACUCAGCUUUAAUGGCUUCAUUGGAUUUCCAUUCCCUUAUGAGGUCUCCUUGUCACAUGAAUCAUAUUAAGUAAAGUUAUAUGCUUUUCUCCUGUUAAUCUUUGCCAGUUUAAUUUUCAGACCCAAACAGAGGGUUAAGGAAAAGUUUUUUUUAUCCUCACACCUUCAUCGCUUCAGCUGAUAGCCAGUCAACUGCCAGACUUGUGAAAGAAAAUGCUCUAGAUCAGCCAUGCCUAAGU